rnacentral:rRNA from 1 species
GACGAACGCUGGCGGCGUGCCUAAUACAUGCAAGUUGAGCGAUGAAGAUUGGUGCUUGCACCAAUUUGAAGAGCAGCGAACGGGUGAGUAACGCGUGGGGAAUCUGCCUUUGAGCGGGGGACAACAUUUGGAAACGAAUGCUAAUACCGCGUAACAACUUUAAACAUAAGUUUUAAGUUUGAAAGAUGCAAUUGCAUCACUCAAAGAUGAUCCCGCGUUGUAUUAGCUAGUUGGUGAGGUAAAGGCUCACCAAGGCGAUGAUACAUAGCCGACCUGAGAGGGUGAUCGGCCACAUUGGGACUGAGACACGGCCCAAACUCCUACGGGAGGCAGCAGUAGGGAAUCUUCGGCAAUGGACGAAAGUCUGACCGAGCAACGCCGCGUGAGUGAAGAAGGUUUUCGGAUCGUAAAACUCUGUUGGUAGAGAAGAACGUUGGUGAGAGUGGAAAGCUCAUCAAGUGACGGUAACUACCCAGAAAGGGACGGCUAACUACGUG